AUUGAACGCUGGCGGAAUGCUUUACACAUGCAAGUCGAACGAUGAACCCUAGCUUGCUAGGGGGAUUAGUGGCGAACGGGUGAGUAAUAUAUCGGAACGUGCCUUGUAAUGGGGGAUAACUAGUCGAAAGAUUAGCUAAUACCGCAUACGCCCUGAGGGGGAAAGUAGGGGAUCUUCGGACCUUACGUUAUAAGAGCGGCCGAUAUCUGAUUAGCUAGUUGGUGGGGUAAUGGCCUACCAAGGCGACGAUCAGUAGCUGGUCAGAGAGGACGACCAGCCACACUGGAACUCAGACACGGGCCAGACUCCUACGUGAGGCAGCAGUGGGGAAUUUUGCACAAUGGGCGAAAGCCUGAUCCAGCCAUUCCGCGUGAGUGUAGAAGGCCUUCGGGUUGUAAAGCUCUUUCGCAAGGGAAGAAAACUUACAUUCUAAUAAAGUGUGAGGCUGACGGUACCUUGAUAAGAAGCACCGGCUAACUACGUGCCAGCAGCCGCCGUAACAC
rnacentral:rRNA from 1 species